rnacentral:rRNA from 1 species
UCCCAAGAGUCCAUAUCGACGGGAUGGUUUGGCACCUCGAUGUCGGCUCGUCGCAUCCUGGGGCUGGAGCAGGUCCCAAGGGUUCGGCUGUUCGCCGAUUAAAGCGGCACGCGAGCUGGGUUCAGAACGUCGUGAGACAGUUUGGUCUCUAUCCUCUGCGCUCGUUGGAAUGCUGAGGAGGCCUGCCCAUAGUACGAGAGGACCUGGGUGGACGAACCUCUGGUAUGCCGGUUGUCACGCCAGUGGCACGGCCGGUUGGCUACGUUCGGAAGGGAUAACCGCUGAAAGCAUCUAAGCGGGAAGCCUGCUCCAAGAUAAGCAUUCCGUGGAACCUUCGAGUUCCUGUAGUCCCCAUGCAGAACACGUGGUUGAUAGGCCGGACGUGGAAGCCCCGCGAGGGGUGGAGCCGACCGGUACUAACGGACGAAAGGCAACACUAA